rnacentral:rRNA from 1 species
UGGGGAAUAUUGCACAAUGGGCGAAAGCCUGAUGCAGCAACGCCGCGUGAAGGAAGAAGGCUCUCGGGUCGUAAACUUCUUUAGGCUAGGAAGAAUAAUGACGGUACUAGCAGAAUAAGCCCCGGCUAACUACGUGCCAGCAGCCGCGGUAAUACGUAGGGGGCAAGCGUUAUCCGGAUUUACUGGGUGUAAAGCGUGAGUAGGCUGUUUUUUAAGCCAUGUGUGAAAUUUUGAGGCUCAACCUCAUUUAGCACAAGGAACUGGGAAACUAGAGUAUGGGAGAGGUAAGUGGAAUUCCUAGUGUAGCGGUAAAAUGCGUAGAUAUUAGGAGGAACACCGGUGGCGAAGGCGACUUACUGGACCAAAACUGACGCUGAGUCACGAAAGCGUGGGGAGCAAACAGGAUUAGAUACCCUGGUAGUCCACGCUGUAAACGAUGAGUACUAGGUGUUGGGG